rnacentral:lncRNA from 1 species
AUGAAGCUCCUUGUGGCUUCAGUUCUUCUUGUCUUUCUCGCUUGCCCAAAGGAAAGCAUUUCGGUUCCUGUUUUGGUGGUGAGUAUUAGAGAUCUUUGUGUUCGGAGACUACUGUUUGAAUUCUGCUUCAUACCUUCUUCAUGCAACAGCUAUAUCCUAAGUUCUAAGAUGAGGUACGCAGUCCUGCUGUACACCCUCCUGCCGUACACCCUCCUGCUGUACACCAUCCUGCCGUACACCAUCCUGCCGUACACCAUCCUGCCGAACACCAUCCUGCCGGACACAAUCCUGCCGGACACAAUCCUGCUGUACACAUUCACGGUGAACCACAUCACAUAAGUGUUCUAGGACAAGUGAGUAUUGUUAAUAAUGUUGC